rnacentral:rRNA from 1 species
UCCUUAGUAACGGCGAGCGAAGUGGGAACCAGCCCAGGUCUGAAAUCUCCCGGUUGGCUAUUGUCCUGGCCGGGCGAAUUGUGGUCUGGAGAGGCAGACUGUCCCGAUCCACCGCGUGCGAGCCCGAAGUUGACUUGGAACGGCACGCCAAAGAGGGUGAGAGCCCCGUAGGGCAUCUAAAUUGUGUGCGGCGGGACGAGGGUCUGUUCUCGUAGAGUCGGGUUGUUUGGGAAUGCAGCCCAAAGUGGGUGGUAGACUCCAUCCAAGGCUAAAUACGGGCGCGAGACCGAUAGCUGACAAGUACCGUGAGGGAAAGGUGAAAAGCACUUUGAAGAGAGAGUUCAAUAGACCGUGAAACCGUUGGGAGGGAAGCUCAGGGUGUCGAGGUUGUCAUGCUUUGUUGCUGGGUUCAUCUGGUGGCCUGCUGCCAGUGCAUUCUCAGCCAAAGUUGGACCGUCAGUCAGGAAGAGUCUGUGACCUGCUUAUCGAUGUUGGGGAGGUAGGCCUUGUGGUUCCUUCGGGUUCCCGGGGUCACGUAUAGCCCUUCAUCGUGGUCCCAGUCAUCUUUCAGGUGCGUUGGAUGACUAAUCGUCCAUAAUUGGAAGGUGCAGUUUCCCCUUGUGGGAGAUCGGGCCUUCACUGCGGUUGCUUAAUGUCUUGGAGUAUGUGUUCCGUUCUCUCGCCGUUUGACUUGUGCUGCGGUGUAGGGUGCGGCACUGCCCUUGAUGUUGUGUCCCAAUGUGUUGUGUCCAAGUUCUGUGCCAAGGUGACUGGCGAGGAGUCGUUACUCUGUGACCCGUCUUGAAACACGGACCAAGGAGUGCAAGAGAUGCGCAAGUCGGAAGGGUUGUGUCAGGACUUCGGUUCUGCCUGCCAGACCCAUUGUAUGGAACGGGCGAAGUGAGAGCAAUUUCAUGGAUGCGAGAGCCUGGUGGGAAACCCCGGGCACAUCGCUGGCCGAGCCAAAGUCACACUGUGGCUGGUUUCGAGUGCGAGCGUAUCUGUUGCGACCCGAAAGAUGGUGAACUAUGCCUGAGGAGGGUGAAGCCAGAGGAAACUCUGGUGGAGGCCCGUAGCGGUUCUGACGUGCAAAUCGAUCGUCGCACUUGGGUAUAGGGCGAAAGA